CAAGCAUAUCUUGGGACAGUGAAUCUUGU
rnacentral:sRNA from 1 species